CUUGACCAACUUUGCGUUCUGCCAGCAUUAGAUCCCUGAUUUAGUCCUGUAAGAAGGGGAGAGCUACAGAAGAUUUUUGUGUACUACAAAUUAGGCUGUGUAGCAUAGUUGAGAAAUAAGGUGUCAGUAGGAAAUACAAACGAUUAGUUCUCUUAAAAGUUAUUUAUUUACUAAAAUAUGUUUUUCUCUAAGAGUUAGUAGUUAUUUAAUAUUUUAUUCAGAAAGAAUGUUGCUGAAACUUGGCCUCUAUACAAUGGUGCAAAAUAGAAACACUCAGAUAAGAGUUGUGGGAGAAAGAGAAAAAAAAAAAAAAAGCUUUUACUGCUUUGCAAGGCAAAGGAGACCAGAGCAAGCCAAUGGCAGACUGUGCCCUCCUUUGAGAGAGAAAUAGGACAUAAGGCCGCAGAUGAGAAACAGAGUAGGUGAAAGCUUACAUUCGUCAAAGCUGGUGUUUAGUAGCCCUGGGAUUGGUUCUGGUGGUCCUCCUUCUUUCUGUAAUGAAGACUACUUCAUCAAGUAGUUAACAUUUUUCAUUUCUUUAGGGUUUUAUUUCUGCAGAAGAGCUCAAAGAUACGUGUGUGUAUCCCUUGGUGAAGACUCAGGGCCCUGUCCCAAGGCUGCACCAUUGUUUCUUGACUCUUCCUUUUUUGUCUCAGCAUCCGCUCCCUUCCCCGAUUAGCAGCUGUUUGGACCUACCCUUUGGAACUCAGGGAAGGUCAUGGAGGCUUAUUCCCUAAAAACAAGAACUGGGACACACAAAAGCUUUUGUGGCCAGGAACCCCACAAGUCCUUGCCUGGUUUUAAGAAAACAUAAUUUGCAAACAUCAUCAAAUUUGUAACUAAACUUACAUUAUUGAAUUAGUGCUUGGAAGUACAGUUUAGUAAUGAUCUGAUUGAAAAGACCAUUUGCUUUAUUUUUGCAUCUCCCCCUACCCCAGCCCAUGGCCCGCCACCACCCUCCCACCCCGUCCAUCAGAAAUAUAAUGUAAAAAUCAAAGGGAAAAAAUAGUUUAAGUUGGAAGUAGUAAAAAGAAAUGAUCUGAGAGAGAAGAAAAAUUUUAAAGAGAGGAAAGAAAUACAAAGAGAAAGGAAUUACUGAAAAUUCUAUAUUUUAAAAAUUUACCCAUUUUGGGUUAGUCCUGAAAAGAGAAGCAUUCUAUGAUCAAGAGUUGUGUAAGAGUCUUUCCCUCUUCCUUCCUUACUUCCUUUCUUCCUUCCUUUUUCUUUUCAUUUCCGGAAGCAGGGUAUAUAGAUUUUAUUGGAGGAUAGCUAUUUGGGGAUUUAGACUGCAAGAUUUGACACCAACUCUUGGAAACAAAGUUUCAUGUAGUGUAAUAAGCCCUAGGGUUUUGUGCCUUUUUCUUUUUCUAUUAUUUUCUUCCUUUCUAUUCUUUUCUUUCUUUCUUUUUUUCUUUCUUCCUUUAUUUUUUUAUUUUUUGGUUUCAUACAUAAACAAAAGAAAGACAAAAAACAACAGUUUCAUUUGCCAUAGUCCACUUCCUUGGGUACCAUUUCUUUGUUCAGAGGCGAAGAGUCUGUGUUUUCUUCUCACACUGAAAAGAGGUAGAUUUUGUUGUUGUUGUUGGUUGGUUGGUUUUCUUUGCUCUGUUUUAAAGGGUAUAAUUCCUUGAACUGAGGAAUACAUUUAUAAUUUCAAAGUGAGAUUUUUAUUUAUCAUUUUCUGGAAAGAUCUCUCUAAAUUUUAGGCAAGAGAUAUUUGCCUAUAAUUGGUCACAUUUAUGUCUUCAUUUCAAGAACUGCCAUGAUACUGAACUUUCCACUUAAAGAAAUGGAAGUAUGAUCAAUUAUUUACAGCCCAUGCAACAUAUUUACUUAUCCCCCUUCUAUCGUUUCAGCUAUUUUUUUCAAAUGUUGAACAAGGUUGCUAAAAGAUAUGUGUGUGUCCACACGUGUGUGUCUGUGUCUGUGUGUGUUUUGAUUAAGAAGAAGAGACAGAGGGAAAGUGAGCAGUCACUGAAUUCCAGCCAGUAGGUCCAUUUCUAGGAAGAGGGAUUUUAUUCUGAAGAAUUUGUUUCAAAUUCUUCACUUUUAUUUUUUUUUAGGUUUUUUUUUAUUACUCAGUGAAUUUAUUACAUUUAUGGUUGUACAAUGAUCAUCACAAACCAAUUUUAUAGGCUGCACCCACAGCAUAUAGAAGUUUCCAGUCUAGGAGUCAGAUUGGAGCUGAGCUGGUCUACACCACAGCCACUGCAAUGUCAUAUCCUUAAUCCACUGAGUGAGGGCAGGGAUCAAACCUGCGUCCUCAUGGAUACUAGUUGGGUUUAUUACCACUGAGACACAACAGGAGCUCUACCCCAAAUAGUCUGUAAGUCAAAAAUCUAAGUAUUUUCAUUGGCUACCUCAGAAAUUAAAUACAUGUUUGAAAGCUAAAAUGUGCAUAUCUUACUGGCUAUUCAGUUGCUAUCAUUAUUUUGAACUUGUAGUGAAUAUUAUCUUUAAAUAAGUAUUCUUUUUUAACUUUUUUAUUAUUACUCAAUGAAUUUAUUACAUUUACAUGUACAAUGAUCAUCACAAUCCAGUUUUAUAGCAUUACAAUCCCACACCCCCAGUGUAUCCUCCCACACUCCAAACUCUCUCCUUUGGAAACCAUAAGUUUUUUCAAAGUCUGUGAGUCAGUAUCUGUUCGGCAAAGAAGUUCAUUGUGUCCUUUUUUCAUAUUCCAUAUGUCAGUGAUAGCAUUUGAUGUUGGUGUCUCAUUGUCUGACUGACUUCACUUAGCAUGAUAAUUUCUAGGUCCAUCCAUGUUGCUAAAAAUGCUGUUAUUUCAUUCCUUUUAAUGGCUGAGUCAUAUUCUAUUGUGUAUGUAUAUGUACCAUAUCUUCUUGAGCCAUUCCUCUGUCGAUGGACAUUUAAGUUGUUUUCAUGUGUUGGCUGUUGCAAAUAGUGCUGCAAUGAACAAUGGAGUAUAUGUGUCUUUUUGAGUGAGGUUUUCUCUGGAUAGAUGCCCAGGAGUGGAAUUGCCAGAUCAAAUGGUUGUUCUAUUUUUAGUUUUCUGAGGAAUCUCCAUACUGUUUUCCACCUUGGUUGUACCAAUUUACAUUCCCACCAACAGUGUAAUAGGGUUCCUUUUUCUCCACACCCUCUCCAGCACUUACUGUUUGUAGACUUUUUGAUGAUGGCCAUUCUGGCUGGUGUAAGGUGGGACCUCCUAGUGGUUUUGAUUUGCAUUUCUCUAAUAAUGAGUGAUGUUGAACAUCUUUUCAGGUGUUUUUUGGCCAUCUGUAUGUCUUCUUUGGAGAAUUGUCUCUUUAGAUUUUCUGCCUAUCUUUUGAUGGGGUUGGUUGUUCAUUUGUUUGUUUGUUUUUUGGUAUUGAGCUGUAGGAGGUUUUUAUAAACUUUGGAGAUUAAUCCCUUGUCAGUCAAUUCAUUUGCAAAGAUUUUAUCUCAUUCUGUGGGUUGCCUUUUUGUUUUGUUUAGGGUUUCCUUUGUUGUGCAGAAACUUUUAAGUUUAAUUAGGUCCGAUUUGUUUAUUUUUGUUUCUGUCAUUACUCUAAGAGGUGGAUCUGAGAAGAUGUCGCUAUUGUUUAUGUCAGAGACUGUUUGGCCUAUGUUUUCCUCUAAGAGUUUUAUAGUGUCUGGUCUUAUAUCUAGGUCUUUAAUCUAUUUUCAUUUUAUUUUGUGCAUGGUGUUGGGAAGUGUUCUAAUUUAAUUCUUUUACAUGUGGAUGUCCAGUUUUUCCAGCACCACUUAUUGAACAAGCUGUCUUUUCUGCAUUGUAUAUUCUUGCCUCCUUUGUCAUAGAUUAGUUGGCUGUAGGUGCGUGGAUUUAAUUCUGGGAUUUCUAUCCUGUUCCACUGAUCUAUAGUUCUGUCUUUGUGCCAGUACCAUACGGAUUUGAUGACUGUUACUUUGUAGUAGAGUCAGGGAGCCUGAUUCCUCCAGCUCCAUUUUUCUUUUUCAGGAUAUCUUUGGCUAUUCUGGGUCUUUUGUGCUUCCAAACAAAUUUUAAAAUAUUUUGUUCAAGUUCUGUGAAAAUGUCCUUGGUAAUUUGAUAGUGAUUGCAUUGAAUAUGUAGAUUGCCUUGAGUAGUAUAGUCAUUUUGAUAAUAUUGACUCUUCCAAUCCAAGAGCAUGGUAUGUCUUUCCAUCUAUUUGUGUCAUCUUUGAUUUCUUUCAUCAGUGUCUUAUAGUUUUUAGAGUACAGGUCUUUUGUCUCUUUAGGUAGGUUUAUUCCUCGGUAUUUUAUUCCUUUGGAUGUGAUGGUAAACGGGAUUGCUUCAUUAAUUUCUCUUUGUGAUCUUUCAUUGUUAGUAUAUAAAGAUGCCGUCAAUUUCUGUGUAUUAAUUUUGUAUCCUGCGAUUUUACCAAAUUUACUGAUGAGCUCUAACAAUUUUCUGGUAAAGUCUUUAGGAUUCUCUAGGUAUAGUAUCAUGUCAUCUGCAAAUUGUGAUAGUUUUACUUCUUCCUUUCCAAUUUGUAUUCCUUUUAUUUUUUUUACUAUUCACCAUUGAGAAUGAUGUUCCUUCUGGGUUUGUCAUAUAUGGCCUUUAUCAUGUUGAGGUAGGUUCCCGUUAUGCCCACUUUCUGAAGGGUUUUUAUCAGAAAUGAGUGUUGGAUUUUGUCAAAGGCUUUUUCCACAUCUAUUGAGAGGAUCAUAUGGUUUUUAUUCUUCAGUUUGUUAAUGUGGUGUAUCACACUGAUGGAUUUGUGGAUAUUGAAGAACUCUUGCAUCCCUGGGAUAAAACCCACUUUAUCAUGAUGUACAAUCCUUUGAAUGUAUUGUUGGAUUUGGUUUGCUAGUAUUUUGUUGAGGAUUUUUGCAUUGAUGUUCAUCAGUGAAAUUGGCCUGUAGUUUUCUUUUUGUGUGGUAUCUUUGUCUGGUUUUGGUAUCAGGGUGGUGGUGGCUUCAUAGAAUGAGUUUGGGAAUGUCCUUUCCUCUGCAAUAUUUUCAAAUAGUUUCAGAAGGAUAGAUGUUAGCUCUUCUCUAAAUGUUUGAUAGAAUUCGCCUGUGAAGCCAUCUGGUCCUGGACUUCUGUUUGUUGGAAGUUUUUUAAUCACAGUUUCAAUUUCAGAUCUUAUGAUGGGUCCAUUCAUCUUUUCUAUUUCAUCUUGGUUUAGUCUUGGAAGAUUGUACUUUUCUAAGAAUUUGUCCAUUUCUUCUAGGUUUUCCAUUUUAUUGGCAUAUCGUUGCAUAUAGUAGUCUCUUAUGAUUAUUUGUGUGAUGUCUGUUGUUACUUCUCCUUUUUCAUGUCUAAUUAUAUUGACUUGAGACCUCUCUCUUUUUUUCUUGAUAAGUCUGGCUAAGGGUUUAUCAAUUUUGUUGAUCUUUUCAAAGAACCAGCUUUUCAUUUCAUUGAUCUUUUCUAUGGUUUUCUUUGUUUCUAUUUCAUUGAUUUCUGCUCUGAUCUUUAUGAUUUCUUUCCUUCUACUAACUUUAGGUCUUGUCUGUUCUUCUCUCUUGAGCUGCUUUAUAUGUAAACUUAGCUUGUUUAUUUGAGCUUUUUCUUGUUUCCUGAGGUCCUCUUAGAACAGCUUUUGCUGCAUCCCAUAGGUUUUGGAGUGUCUAUCUUUGUUGUCAUUUGCGGCUAGGUAUUUUUUAAUUUCCUCUUUGAUUUCUUCAGUGAUCCAUUGGUUGCUUAGUAGCAUGUUGUUGAGUCUCCACAUGUUUGUGUUUUUUGCAGUUUUUUUCUUCUUGUUGAUUUCCAGUCACAUAACGUUGGAAAAGAUGUUUGAUAUGAUUUCAAUUUUCUUAGUUACUGAAGCUGGAUUUGUAGCCCAGGAUGUGAUCAAUCUUAGACAAUGUUCCAUGUGCACUUGAGAAGAAUGUGUAUUCUGUUGCUUUUGGAUGGAAUGUCCCAUAAAUAUCUAUUAAGUCCAUCUGGUCUAAUGCUUCAUUCAGGGCCUGUGUUUCCUUAUUGAUUUUCUGUUUGGUUGAUCUGUCCUUGGCUGUAAGUGGGGUGCUAAAGUCCCCCACUAUAAUUGUAUCAUUGUCUAUUUGUCCUUUUAAGGUUGUUAGCAGUAGCCUUAUAUAUUGUGAUGAACCUAUGUUGGGUGUGUAGAUAUUUUAAAUUGUUAUAUCUUCUUCUUGGAUUGAUCCUUUGAUCAUUAUCUAGUGUCCUUCCUUGUCCCUUAAAAUAUUUUUCAUUUCAAAGUCUAUUUGUCUAUUGCUACUCCAGCUUUCUUUUGGUUCCCAUUUGCAUGGAGUAUUUUCUUCCAUCCUCUCACUUUCAAUUUGUAUGUGUCCCUAGAAGUGAAGUGGGUCUCUUGAAGAGCAUAUAUAUGGAUCUUCUUUUUGUAUCCAUUCAGUCAAUCUUUGUCUUUUGGUUGGGGUAUUUAGUCCAUUAACAUUUUAGGUAACUAUUGAUAUGUAUGUUCUUAUUGCCAUUUUAUUUAUUGCUUUGGAUUUGUUUUUGUUGCUCUUUUUUCUUCCCUUCUUUUCUUGUUCUCUCCUCUUCUGGUUUGAUGGCUAUCUUUAGUGUUGUAUUUGAGUUGAUUUUUCUUAUUUGUUUGUGUAUCAAUUGUAGAUUUUUGGUUUGCAGUUAUUCUGAAGUUUUGAUAGAAGAGUCUAUAUAUAUACAUGAGUUUGUAUUAAGUUGUUGGUCUCUUAAUUGCAAGUGCAUCUCCAGUGUCUUGCAUUUGUACCCUCCUCUUGUCACGAUUUCUGAUUUUGGUGGCAUAAUUGUGCAUGGAUGAUUUCAUAUCUUUACUGUGUAUAUACCUUUACUGGUGAGCCUUGUCAUUUGAGGUAUUUUUGUUCCCUGUUGCGGCCUUUUCUUUUCUGCCUAGAGAAGUUCCUUUAGUAUUUGUCCUAAAGCUGGUUUAGUGUUGCUUGAAUGCUUUUAGCUUUUGCUUAUCUGUGAAGCUUUUGAUUUCUCCUUCAAAUCUGAAUGAGAGCCUUGCUGGGUAAAGUAAUCUUGGUUGGAGGGUUUUUCCUUUCAUCACGUUAAGUAUAUCAUGCCACUCCCUCCUUGCCUGCACAGUUUUUGCUGAAAAAUCUCCCGAUAACCUUAUUGGGGAUUCCUUGUAUGUUGUUUCUUUUCCCUAGCUGCUUUAAAGAUUUUCUCUUUGUCUUUAAUUUUGGUCAGUUUGAUUAAUAUGUGUCUCAGGGUAUUCCUCCUUGGGUUUAUUUUAUAUAGUAUUUGUGCUUCCUGGAUUUUAGUGAGUGGUUCCUUUCCCAUGUUAGGGAAGUUUUUGGCUAUUACCUCUUGGAAUAUUUUUUUCUGUCCCCUUCUCUCUCUCCUUCUGGAUAUAAUAUGGAUGUUGGUGCAUUUCACGUUGUCCCAGAGUUCUCUGAGACUCUUUUCCUUUCUUUUUGAUCUUUUUUCUAUUUUCUGUUCCGCAUCCAUAAUUUCCAGUAAUCUGUCCUCCACCUCGCUUAUUUGUUCUUCUGCCUCUUGUAUUCUGCUGUUAGCUGCUUCUAGUGAAUGUUUUAUUUCCAUUAUUUUAUUUUGCAUUUCUUCUUGUUUAAGUUUUAUAUCUUGUAUGUCUUUGCUCAGUGUUUCCUGUAAAUUACCCAUCUUUGCCUCCAGUCUAUUUCCAAUGUCUUGCAUCAUCUUUAGCAUGAACCGUCUAAAGUCUUUUUCCUGGAGGCUGAGAAUCUCCUGAUCACUUAGCUGUUUUUCUGUUUUUUUUUUUUUGUUUUUUUUUUUUUCUUUCUCCCUUAUCUGGGUUAUAGUUCUCUGUCUUUUCAUUUUUAUAGGUUUUUGGUGUGGUGACCUUUUUCAGAUAAUAGGGUUGUACCCUCUUUUACUUCUGGUGUCUGCCUCCCUUGUGGCUGAAGUUGGUAUGGGGGCUUGCUGUAGGCUUCCUGAUGGGAGAGACUGAUGUCUGCCCGCUGGUAGGUGGAGCUUAUUCCUGUCCCUCUGGUGGGUGGGGCUUUGUCUCUGGGUGAGAUUAGAGGUAGCUGUUUGCAUGGGGGGGUCUUUAGGCAGUCUGUUUACUGAUGGGUGGGUUUGUGAUCCUACCUGGGUUGUUGUUUACCCUGGGGCUUCUCAGUGCUGAUGGGUGGGGCCAGGUUUUCCGAAAAUGGCCAUCUCCAGAGAAAGACUCACUGAUAAGGAUUCCCAAGAGCUUUGCUUCCAAUGUCCUUACCCCACAAUAAGCCACAUUCACCCCUGCUUUCCCAGGAGGUCCUCCAAGAACUGCAGUCAAGUCCAACUCAGAUUCCCACAGAGACCCUGCUUUACCCUGGGACCCAGUGAAUGCGAAAGCCUGUGUGCAGCUUUUAAGAAUGUGGUCUCUGUUUCCCUCAGUCCUGUAGAGCUCCUGUGCACAAGUCCCACUGGCCUUCAAUGCCAGAUGCUCCAGAGGCUCUUUCUCCCAGUGCUAGAUCCCCACAUAUGGGGGUUUGUUAUGGGACUCAGAACUCUCACUCUUGUAGGUGAGUCUCUGUGAUACACUUACUUUCCAGUCUGUGAGGCUUCCCACCCAGGAGGUAUGGGAUUGUUUAUAUCCAGUAAUAACCCCUCCUGCCUCUUGAUGUGGCCUCCUCUUUGUCCUCUGGAGUAGGAUAUCUUUUUGAAAGUUUCCGGUCCAUUUGGUUGAAGAUUGCUCAGCCUUUGGUGGUUUUGUUGUUUUUAGGAGAGAAGUUGAGCUCCAGUCCUUCUAUUU
ensembl:lncRNA